rnacentral:rRNA from 1 species
AUUGAACGCUGGCGGCAGGCCUAACACAUGCAAGUCGAACGAGUGGCGGACGGGUGAGUAAUGUCUGGGAACCUGCCUGAUGGCGGGGGAUAACUACUGGAAACGGUAGCUAAUACCGCAUACCAUCAGCUGGGACCAGAUGGGCUGAGCUGUUUGGUGGGGUAACGGCUCACCAAGGCGACGAUCCCUAGCUGGUCUGAGAGGAUGACCAGCCACACUGGAACUGAGACACGGUCCAGACUCCUACGGGAGGCAGCAGUGGGGAAUAUUGCACAAUGGGGGCAAGCCGGAUGCAGCCAUGCCGCGUGUAUGAAGAAGGCCUUCGGGUUGUAAAGUACUUUCAGCGGGGAGGCGUUACCCGCAGAAUAAGCACCGGCUAACUCCGUGCCAGCAGCCGCGGUAAUUC